UGUAGGGUGGUGUUGAGGCACGUAGGGUUUUGGUUCCUAAGGGAUUAGCUCGACCUAUUUCCUACAU
rnacentral:tRNA from 1 species